GAGUUUGAUCAUGGCUCAGGAUGAACGCUGGCGGCGUGCUUAACACAUGCAAGUCGAGCGAAGAAGCCUUCGGGUGGAUGAGCGGCGGACGGGUGAGUAACGCGUGGGUAACCUGCCUCAUACAGGGGGAUAACAGUUAGAAAUGACUGCUAAUACCGCAUAAGCGCACAGCUGCAUGGCCAGUGUGAAAAACUCCGGUGGUAUGAGAUGGACCCGCGUCUGAUUAGGUAGUUGGUAGGGUAACGGCCUACCAAGCCGACGAUCAGUAGCCGACCUGAGAGGGUGACCGGCCACAUUGGGACUGAGACACGGCCCAAACUCCUACGGGAGGCAGCAGUGGGGAAUAUUGGACAAUGGGGGAAACCCUGAUCCAGCGACGCCGCGUGACUGAAGAAGUAUUUCGGUAUGUAAAGGUCUAUCAGCAGGGAAGAAAAUGACGGUACCUGACUAAGAAGCCCCGGCUAACUACGUGCCAGCAGCCGCGGUAAUACGUAGGGGGCAAGCGUUAUCCGGAUUUACUGGGUGUAAAGGGAGCGUAGACGGCGAUGCAAGUCUGAAGUGAAAGCCCGGGGCUCAACCCCGGGACUGCUUUGGAAACUGUGUUGCUGGAGUGCAGAGAGGUAAGUGGAAUUCCUAGUGUAGCGGUGAAAUGCGUAGAU
rnacentral:rRNA from 1 species